GGCACUCACAGACACCGGGACACCGGCACUCACAGACACCGGGACACCGGGACUCACAGAUACCGGGACACCGGCACUCACAGACACCGGGACUCACAGACACCGGGACUCACAGACACCGGGACACCGGCACUCACAGACACCGGGACACCGGGACACCGGGACUCACAGAUACCGGGACCCCGAGGCUCACAGUGAGCAGGUGCAGGCGUUCCCCUGCACUCCGAGGCCACAGUAACCCGUGUCCCCGGUACUGCCCUGUCCCCAGGGCUCCUGAGCACCCCCGGCGGUGACUGCAGCGCUGCCCCGGGUGCCCCGUGCCGCGGCCCUUUCGGUGAAGAGGUUUUCCCUCAAGUCCAAUCCAGCAUUCCCUGGCACAGCUUGAGGCCGUUUCCUUUCGUGCUGGCCCUCGGCAGCUCCCGGGACAGAGCGGCUGAGGGGGCCGAGCUGGGAAGGGCCCGCUGUGGGGCAGGGCUGGGAGCGGGAAGGGCCCGCGGCCUCUAUCGCGUGGCUGCAGGACAGAGGUGGAAAAUGAGGGGCUGGCAGAGGGAACAGCAGCACUCCGCAGCUGGGGCAGCGAGACGAGGCUGCCAGCGAGGAGGGAACAGAGGAAUGAUGUGGUCUAAGCCAUUGACCAGCACAACAAUUUUUGCAGCAGCCCUCUGGAUACAAACCAGGAGAUCAAGGAACGCUCUGGAAGGUGUGGACAUAGUUGGGCAGUAGGAAUCCAUGAAAAGAUGAUGAUGAACCCUCAAAUCAUGAAGAGACAGGCUGGACGACGCCAGUUUUACCUCCAAACCAAUUUCCUGACAAUCAUCUCUUCCCUGGCAGCCCUGCUCGUCUCCGGGGCCUCUGUGGGUCCGUGUCUCCUCAGCGUCUCCCUGGAAUUGGCCUCGUUGCCACCUCCAUCUCUGGAUGUUCCUUAUGCCCAAUGAAGAGAAAUUUCCAAAACGCAGAAGGGUCAAGAAGAUGUACAGGAAAAAAAAAAAAGCCAGCUAAGUCAUGUCUCUAGGGCUGUGUUUGUACAUUCAGCACGUUAUGAAAAGCAGCUCUUUGGGCUGGUUCAUUGACUGGCAGGAAUUAGAGAGCUAAGUCACUGCAGGGCUGGCAAUUAGCUGCUGCACAAGUGUUUUUGUAGAGUCAAAUUUCCAGCGAGGGGAAGAGAAAAGCGUUUGUAAAGCAAAACACCCCUCGGUGCAGGAGCUGGGCAGGGGGAGCUGCAGCUCCUGCACUCCUGAGCAAAGAGAGGAUUUGUUCCUCAAACAAACACCGGAACUUAGAGCCUCCCCCUCCAGAGUCUGCCUCGCUGAAAUCCUCUCGCUGUCACAGCUGAAAUGUGGCUACAAAGAGCUGCAGGAAUUCCCCAAGGUUGUUUCACAGCCAAAAUGCAGUGCCUGGAACAAAAGGACUGUGCUGCAGGAGUCGGAGAGGAGCAAUGGGAGGAAGAGAAGCCCCCAGUGUGUGACUGGAGGAGCUGCAGAUGGCCAGACGUGACUGCGAGGGAAGGGAGGCAGCGCUCAGAGCAACGUUUCAGCUUUCAAGUCCCGUGCUCCAGGAUCUACAUGCCAUUUCUUGGAUGUGGUUUGCCCCGAGGGCAAUCUCAACAGCUGUGAAGUUUCAACAGAUGAACAAUGUAGUUUUCAAUAAAUUUCACCAAGCAAAGGAAAGGAUUUUAACUCGUUCAUGCUAACCCACUUUUGGUCUGAAGGCUCUCCUGGACCCCAAUCCAUGCACAUCAUGAGUGUUUCCUGUUUGAGCCCCAGGCACACCUGAGCUGCACUGAGAGGUUUUUCCCCCUCAGAAGAGGCUUCUCUCAGCCAUGCCUGUGGGUCCUGGGAGGUGCAGGAACACCCCUGCCUUUACCUGUGCCACUUGAACCCGCUCUGGUGGAGGAAGGUGCCAAAUGAGGAUGCCCUCAGCUCCUGGUGGGGAAAGGAGAGGAGGUAGAAAGACCUUUCUUUCAAAUCUCCUUGUGGCUACUGCAUCUAGGAAGUUCCAUUUCCUUUGUAGUCACACAUCCAGAAGUGGGGCUUUGCUCUUGGAGUCAUGUUCUCAUCCCAGCUGAAGGCUGAUGCCAUUAACUGUAACUGAAAGAGGGGCUUUUGUGUCCCCGAAUUCUGCAGUCAGAGAAGUCAAGAAAUUACCUCUUCCAAAGCCCAUCUGGUGUAUCCUCAGAUCCCGAGGACAAAUACUGCAAAUUGUACACAGGACAGGACAGCAAACCUGAGUCCAGAGGUAAAAGGCCAGUUAAAAAGCCAGCACUGGGUUUUUUUGGUGCGUGUCUGGGGGUUCUGAGCAAUGAGGCUGUGACCUUUGCUGCCUCCCCUGGGGCUGGGAUCUGUCAGGCGGUUUCAGGAGUCCGAAGCAGCGAGCUCACACCCCUCGCAGGAGAUAACAGUGCUGAGUGAGCCCUGGAGGGAUCUCACACCUGUGCAGGCUCCCUGCUUCACCUGUCCAUGUUUUACCUUUGCUGUCCAGGCCGAUGGGCUCAGGACUGAGCAUUUCCUUCUCACCCAAACAUCUGCCCAGAGGCCAUUCCCUCCUGCUCCCACACAGCCACUCCCUGGCCAGUCUGCUUCCCCCUCCCUCUGCAGACAGACAGACAGACAGACAGACAGACACCUCCAGGAGCUGCCCCGAUGGUUCCCCACACAGCUCCGGGGGGCACUGAUGGAGUUUCACUGUAAGGAAACAACCCAAGCCCAGCUACAGACUCGAGGGUGGGUCUGUGUGUGAGGCAGAGGUGCCCUUGACCUUUAGGAGGCUCUUAGCACCAACCCAUGAACAGCGACUGCUUUCAACCAGAGCUUUACAGUGACUGCCUCCCCACCUCUGCCCCUUCCCGAGCCAGGACACAGCUCAUAAAACACCCAGAGACAUCUUGUGAGAUGCUGCAGCCUCCACACAACAGGGCACAGACACACUCGGGGUCUUUUGUCCCAGCUCUUCAAAAUGUUUCAUGCGUUUUAGUCAUCACAUUGCUCUUCCUGUCCUACUGAGGCUCCUCAGCCAUCAGCUUCCAACAGAAGUUUUUCAGACAGAAACUAAAUAUCAUUUCCUUCCUGUAAAAGAAGCCAGCGGUAUCUCCUUUUCACGUGGAAAGUCAAUAACCCUUGCAAAUGCACAGGGCAGCCUGGUUGUGCACUCUGAUUUCUCAUGAUUUCUGCUGAAAUGCUUUCAGUUGGCAUCUCCACCAAAGUGCUGAACUCUCCAUCCAUGGGCUCUUCCUUGGGAAGAGUGCAAAGAUCCUCCUCUGUAGGAGCAGAAAAAUCAGUGGUCUGAGCAAACCCCUCGGCUCUCUGGAGAGGCUGGACACUGUGGAUGCUGUGCUGGAUUCAUUCCCAGCCUUGUGCAAGCUCUCGUGGUGUCUUUUUAGAUGGUUCCUCAGAGUCUGCUGUGUGGUCUCUGGGUGCUCCCCUGGAUCUGAGGCUUCCACAGGGAGUUUGUGACAAUUCAGUCUCAGAGUUCAGCACCUGCAGCCCGAGAGGAAGUGUGAAAACUCUUUGGGAACUGAUCUCUGGCACUGUCCAACCAAUUUAUCCCAGUGACAUUUGCUAGUGGCAAUGCAGUGUGUGUCACAGAGCAUCCAGGAGUUUGGAAUGGCAGGACUUGGCAUCACUGCUGUGCCAAGUUACUGCUGGGAGAGGCACUUUGCAUCCCAGAGGGAGCCAGGAGUGCGCUCACACCAAUAAAAUCCACAUUUCCGUG